AUUAGGUCCCGGAUUACAUAGAGUUCUUUGGAACAAAGAAACUGCGUCUAUUAUCGCCGUGUCCGUUCGGUUCUCAUCUUUCCGAUCUACUUCUCUGUAACGGGUUCAGUUUUGGUUGACCUCCUCCAUUAAUUCAAGCAUUAAACUGCACUCCACCUCUCCUCCCACUCAGCCUCAUUUAUGCAGCCUUAUCAUCGUCUAAGGGAUGGAGCUAUGUUGGAGGUAGACUACUUUCUGCGGUUAUUACAUACGAUGAGAGCGGAUGGUAUGUGGGUGAAGCCACCAGAGGUUUGCAUUUCAAAGUCUAUUCCUUUGUUAAUUUAGACAAUACAAACAAAAGUAACCCACAAGUUUACUCACUACAAAGUUACCACCAGUUUCCAUAGUUCUUGUCAUUUGUGAAUCCUUGAAGUGGAAAUUUCUGAUCCUUAUACUUUCUAAGAGAUGUAAGAGUUGUGGAAGUAACUGUGAAUGCAAAGCAAAAUCUAUUUAAACACACAAGGAUGUGAACUAUAUCGACUAGACGUCAAGUGUUUAAGGAUAGUCUGCGAGGAGGAGUACUAAUUGCUCAAAACAUAGAUGUUUCUUUGGAUAAUUUCCCUUAUUUUCUAAGUGCUACUACGAAGGAUGUUCUAAAAGCAUGGAUGUCUGUCCAUAUGAAGGGUGGAAGCAAGUUCACAAAGUAUGCAUCAGACUUGCCUACAACGUGUAUCUUGCUGUCUAGACCAGCAGGCUCUGAGAUAUAUCAGGAAAUGUUGGCAAAAGUGCUUGCGGAAAAUUUUGAGGCCAAGUUGAUGAUCGUUUACUCUCUUUUGUUGUCUCUUUUGUUG